UGAUAUGUAAUUAGGAAACUA
rnacentral:miRNA from 1 species